ACGCUCGACACCUACGGGAGGAGCAGUGGGGAAUAUUGCACAAUGGGGGAAACCCUGAUGCAGCGACGCCGCGUGAAGGAAGAAGUAUCUCGGUAUGUAAACUUCUAUCAGCAGGGAAGAAAAUGACGGUACCUGACUAAGAAGCCCCGGCUAACUACGUGCCNGCAGCCGCGGUAAUCUGAGCGGGCUGGCAAGGC
rnacentral:rRNA from 1 species